UACAGAGGGGCAAGCGUUGUUCGGAAUUACUGGCGUAAGGGCGCGUAGGCGCCUUCUAAGUCGACGUGAAUCCCUGGGCUCAACCCAGGAACUGCGUCCGAUACUGGAGGCUUGAAUCCGGGAGAGGGAUGCGGAAUUCCAGGUGUAGCGGUGAAAUGCGUAGAUAUCAGGAAGAACACCCGUGGCGAAGGCGGCUCUCUGGGACGGUACUGACGCUGAGACGCGAAAGCGUGGGGAGCGAACAGGAUUAGACUAC
rnacentral:rRNA from 1 species